rnacentral:rRNA from 1 species
CAGCCCUUGACAUCCCGGUCGCGGACUCCAGAGACGGAGUUCUUCAGUUCGGCUGGACCGGAGACAGGUGCUGCAUGGCUGUCGUCAGCUCGUGUCGUGAGAUGUUGGGUUAAGUCCCGCAACGAGCGCAACCCCCGUCCUUAGUUGCUACCAUUUAGUUGAGCACUCUAAGGAGACUGCCGGUGAUAAGCCGCGAGGAAGGUGGGGAUGACGUCAAGUCCUCAUGGCCCUUACGGGCUGGGCUACACACGUGCUACAAUGGCGGUGACAAUGGGAUGCUAAGGGGCGACCCUUCGCAAAUCUCAAAAAGCCGUCUCAGUUCGGAUUGGGCUCUGCAACUCGAGCCCAUGAAGUUGGAAUCGCUAGUAAUCGUGGAUCAGCACGCCACGGUGAAUACGUUCCCGGGCCUUGUACACACCGCCCGUCACACCAUGGGAGUUGGUUUUACCUGAAGACGGUGCGCUAACCGAAAGGGGGCAGCCGGCCACGGUAGGGUCAGCGACUGGGGUG